ensembl:lncRNA
AUGAAGUAUUUCUCAAAGGAAGUCCACCCUCAUCCGUGUCCCUCUUACCCACACGUCUCACUCCUGCAAUUACAGGCUUCUGCCCGGCCUUUGCAGGGCGCCUGUGUGCGAGUGAAGACGAGUGAUGGAGAUGAACUAUCUUUGCUGAAAAGGUUGGCGGAUGUGCAUCAGCAUGGAAAAACAAUCCAGGCCAGGGACUGUGUAUUUCUCCCAGCGUGGGAAACAGAACAGGCUAAAUGA